rnacentral:rRNA from 1 species
UACGUAGGCAGCAAGCGUUGUUCGGAGUUACUGGGCGUAAAGGGUGCGUAGGCGGCCCUGUAAGUAUGGUGUGAAAUCUCCCGGCUUAACUGGGAGGGUGCGCUAUAGACUGCGGGCUCGAGUGUGGGAGAGGAAAGUGGAAUUCCCGGUGUAGCGGUGAAAUGACGCAGAUAUCGGGAGGAACACCGGUGGCGAAGGCGGUUCUCUGGGCCUGUACUGACGCGAGGAGCGAAAGCGUGGGGAGCGAAACAGG